GAUCGGUUGGUUAGAUGUGCUCCGGCUCAGGCUCAGACUUAAGGGGCUGGCUAGAGGUGAUGAUGAAGGACGCCCCCUGCCACCUGCUACCUUUCUCAGCACCCCAAUCCCGUACGCUCGCGACAUCGGCUGAGAUUCCCUAUGCCCAGGUCAGCAGUGAGGUUGGGAGUGACCUGGUGGCUUCCCCUCAGGCUCUAACGAUGGAUGUCCGCGGGGUGGAAGUGGCCCCCAACAGCUGGCACUUCGGGGAGGCGCCCCGAGGACCUAGCGCGCUGGGUGGGCGGCUCCCGCGCGCGCUCGGUGGAACCAGGACGGCUGCGGCUUCGGACAAGCGCUACGGCUUAAGUCCAGCUGGCUGGGCGGGCAGUGUGGCCCUCCGGGGAUGCUCUCGGGAAUUGAGAGAGAAAGGAAAAACAAGAACCCGAGGAAAGGACCCGUCGGGUUUGUGUCUGUGUGUGUGUGUGUGUGUGAGAUUUAAUGGAAGCAGCCAGUUCUCGGGAACACUGGGUUAACCGAUGCUACCCGCGUUGAAGCGCACAAGUCAAAGCCCGGGCCGGCUUCAGCGUGUCGGGGAGUCCUGGGGACUGCCACUUUUUUGAACACCGGGACACAAAAUAACCACCAGGGGUGGAUCUGCCCUCUUCACCUGGGUGUCCAUUGGAUUCCGGGCCAAGGUUUCCCUCCAAAAUCCGGAUGACAAAGUGUAACCACAUUUAGGGCGACAGAUGCUAAAGGCAAGUGCAUCGCAUUCAACUGGGAAAAGACAGAAGAAAGAGGAUGAAAGUCCCAAAUAAGAGAUGUAGACCAACAUGAGUGAAGCAAAAGGACGGUCCCCCCAGUGUUGCCACAGCUGCCUUUGCUUGACAUCGUUUUGGUAGUUCCUAUUUAAGGCCGCAGAAUUAACGUGAACCCUCUGAGGCCCACAUAGAGAAUCUGGUAAGUUUAGCUCGGCUGGUAAGUUUUGGUGAGAGGACCAAGUUGCUGUGAUUUGUUGACAAGACUUCAUCUACAAAUUGCAAGUUCAAGACCAGGCAGCCAGUAUUAUAUAUGAAAAUGUACAUCUUUUUUCUCUAAAUAUAUUUAUUAUUUUUAAUCAAAGGUAAGUCAUGAAAUCUGUAUAGUAUUUAUUUCAUUUUUCUCCCUACCACCCCCAUAUUAUUACAACCUCACCAUUCACAUAGCCAAGUAAAAAGACUUCCUCAGUUUCACUCAGUGGUUCUCAAGCUGGGGCUCCUUUGCACCCCAGAGGACAUUGGAGAUAUCCGGGGGCAUUUGGGGAGAAGGGAGUGUAAGGAGGCAAAGUGCUGCUGGCAUCUGAUGGGUAACGAUCAGGGUUGCUACUGAACACCCUGCAAUGCACACAGAGUAGCCCCGGAACAGGCUAUUAUCCGAAGUCCAAAAUGUCAACACAUUAUCCAGCCCAAAAUGCAAAAUGAGUUUGGGAAACCUUGGUUUCCAAUCACAUGAAGAUGGAAAACACCUGAUUUUUGUUAGGAGCUCGUGCUGCAAGGGGAACCACCUCUUGCGGUGGUUCAGGGUAUCUUGAACAGGCAGCAGGCUUGGAGGUAUAAAGAUUUAGCAGAGUUCUCUUUCCAGCAGGGCCUGCGAUGCACCCUGACCCGGUCACUGACCACCUUCCUCGACUGCAGCACAAAUCCAGGCAGUCACCUCAAGAGCAGUGCCGAAGACCAACAUCAGGGAUCUUGAGCUCCCCUCUCUGUUACUACUCCAUGCUGAGCAACUGGAAGAAAACAGCUUGACUUGGUUCCUUAUUUCACUUCCCUCCUGUACUGUAAAAGGAUAGCCGGGAAACCUGAGCAAACACGUGUUUGCUACCAGGCGUUGGACUUGAACUCAAAGGAGCAACCUGGCCUUGGCACGACACUAGGAACGUUUUUUGCGCCAGAUAAAAGGUGAAUAAAAGCAAUCCCAUACUCUA